GAUGAACGCUGGCGGCGUGCCUAAUACAUGCAAGUCGAGCGAACAGACGAGGAGCUUGCUCCUCUGACGUUAGCGGCGGACGGGUGAGUAACACGUGGAUAACCUACCUAUAAGACUGGGAUAACUUCGGGAAACCGGAGCUAAUACCGGAUAAUAUAUUGAACCGCAUGGUUCAAUAGUGAAAGACGGUUUUGCUGUCACUUAUAGAUAGAUCCGCGCCGCAUUAGCUAGUUGGUAAGGUAACAGCUUACCAAGGCAACGAUGCGUAGCCGACCUGAGAGGGUGAUCGGCCACACUGGAACUGAGACACGGUCCAGACUCCUACGGGAGGCAGCAGUAGGGAAUCUUCCGCAAUGGGCGAAAGCCUGACGGAGCAACGCCGCGUGAGUGAUGAAGGUCUUCGGAUCGUAAAACUCUGUUAUUAGGGAAGAACAAAUGUGUAAGUAACUAUGCACGUCUUGACGGUACCUAAUCAGAAAGCCACGGCUAACUACGUG
rnacentral:rRNA from 1 species